CUACCUCAAAACGCUAUGUACAAAGGAUAAAAAGACAUAGGACCCUGAGAUGAAGUGGUGCUUACCAAAUCAGCAGAGGAGAGGGUAUGUUGCUAUCAUUGGUCAAUGCCACCUGCUAUGGAACCACUUGCAUCCAUUAAAGAUGUAGCACCCCCGAAAAAAGGGACGUUAGUACAUAUGAAAUAGUACUAGUAUGUAAAACAAAAUUCCCUCUCAAUAGAAUGAGCAACAGUAAACCGAGAAUAAAACAUGAAAUCAAUAAGAGACUCAAGCAGUAUCAAGGUGUCAAGUCAAUGGAAAGGUAAAUUUCAAAUAUGAUUCAGUAAUAUAAGUUGGGAGAUCUUUAGCACUGAUAUACCACUGUGUUUUAUUACGGAGUCUGAUCUCAGCCCGACCAGCUAAGCCAUCUCAUCCUGAGACAUACACUCAUAAUACCACCAUGUGUGCGGUAUGGUGUCCGAUCUCAGCCCGAUCGGCUAAGCCGUCUCACUACAAUGUCGUGUGGGUCGACAUUACAUCACAUAUAGCUAGUAAUAAUCUCAUCCCAUUUAAGGGAAAAAUAUCUCAACACACCAAUCCCAUCCCAUAUAAGGGGAAACAAUCUCAUCAUAUUAACACAGAGAUUUACCCCUCAAUCACUCCUACACCGGCACAUAUAGUUUCAGGGUUGGGUUGUUCAGACUUACCCUUCCUCGGUGGCUAACCGAUACUCCCAAAGCAUUUGUUAUUAAAAGUAUUACCACUCAAUUCAUAUUCUUUUACAUGUCAUUCAUUUUAUUGACAUCAUUGGCCAUAAUGCAAUACCAUUCUUGGAACAUUGGUCGUACUUCAUAAUUCAAUCUCACUAUUCCAUUUUCAAUCAUUAUCACGGAUAAUCAAUAACAAGGCCUUUCAGAUUAAGACUUUAAACACAUACUUGAGCAAAUUAGGGUCUUAGGCACAUAUGAUCUCUUAUACAAUUUGAUGUGAUCACUUCCAUUUGGACUUGACUUGAAGUCACAACAUUUUAAUACAUACUCAUACUUCAAAUACUCUCCCGAAGAAUAGCACAAUAUAAUAAGAAAAUUUCGGAACACCUUUGAACAUAUUCAUAUAUAUACAUCAUCCGACGCCAAACUUAUUCAGAAAAGUCAAUUCAUAAUGGACAACUCGGGACUUACAAGAUCAUCAUGCGAAUUCAAUUCUAAGAAAGGUGUUUAGCCAACAUACCUUGCCUCGAGCUUUUUAAUUUACUAUAAUAUUUCAGAGAUCCUAGACACUUCGAUCUAUUUAGAGAUAUAGCAAAAUUGAACACAAAUUAGGAAGGAGUUCAUAGUUCCAGCUCACUUAAGCAUUUUACCAAACACUAGGCGUGCAUUAAGGUUUUAAGAUCCUCCUAUCGUGGAUUCUUUCACCCCCACUACCCAAAGUUCACUCAAAAGAGCUCAACAAUCUCCCUACUACCCUAGAUGGUACAUGUAUGUAAAAUAAACAACUUCCACACCCAAGAAUUGCUUUACUAAUUACCCAUUUUUAGUUAAAUUCCGAAAUUAAGGGUUAGGGUGUAGAAUCUAACCUUUUGGUUGAAGACCUUGUGAGUUACCCUAGAGAAAUCUUCAAGGUUUGAACAAAGAUUGAUGAAAAAAUGACUUAGAAGUCCUCUUCUCACUCUAGACCACCUUCCUCUCUCUCUAAAAUGUAAGUUUGAACCUUCUAAAAUGACCCUUAACAUUGUUUUAUAAGAAUGGGGUCGGGUUUAUAAAAUCAGAAAAAUGAAGCUCUAAAACACAAUAUGUGGUCGCAUAGUGAUCACAAAAUGCAUAUGCGAUCCGCAAAUCGGCCGCACAAUUGGUGCCCCUGAACUGGGAUGUUCGGGCUGGGUCUGCGGCAGUUCUGCAGCCGCAGACCUAUUCUGGGGUCGCAUAAUGCACCGUAGAACUUCCCUCCGAAAAUUACCAUGCUGGUUUCACGGUCGAUGUGCGGCCCGCGAAAUAGUUUUGCGAUCGUAUAGUUGACCGCACAAUAUCAUCCAAACUUGGCCAGUUUUCUGCUUCACUCUGCGGCCCACAAAGUGAUUCUGCAGCCGCAUAGUGGGCCGUAGAAAUGUCUUUUUCUGCCAAAAAUUUUCCUUUACUCCCUAGCGCACUGUUCAACCCAAAAAGUCUGUACGUCAACACAUAAGCCUACUUCGGCACCACGAAAUCCUGGGUUUUUAGGCAAAAUUUUACGGGGCCUUACAUCCUCCCCCACUUAAGUUCAUUCGUCGUCGACUAAGGGCUAAAACCUUCCAUUAGAAACCAAUGUGACUUAGCUUCUAUAACACACACCAAUAAUUCCCAAAUUUCGACUUACUCCCCAAAUUUCCAAAAUUUUCGCUAGAGUUUCCCCUGUAACUGGGCCUAACCACCUGUCAGAGAAUCCCAGAAACCACUCCUAACAACAUAUACAUAAUCCGAUGAUGCAAUAUAACAUAAAAAAACACAAAUUGUGGCCUCAUAAGCAAUAUAUUACCAAAAAGGGAACACCCUUAACAUCAACGGUAUAAAUGAUACAUAAUUCAUAGAAGGUAACUCUUAGCAUUUUCAUAGAACACAACUUUCUAAAUAAAUGGCUAUUCAAAAAAAUAAGGAUACUUCUUCUUCAUUUCUUCCUCGGCCUUCCAGGUGGCCUCUUCAACUUGUUGGUUCCGCCAUAGUACUUUCACAGAGCCAAUCUCUUUGUUCCUCAACUUUCGUACUUGCCUAUCAAGGAUGGCAACUGGAAUUACUUCAUAAGUCAAUUCUUCAUUAACCUCAAUGGUCUCAACCGGAGUAAUAAUUGACGGAUCUCCAACCACCUUCUUCAACAUGGACACGUGGAACACCGGGUGCACCAAAGACAUCUCUGGACACGUGGAACACCAGGUGCACCAAAGACAUCUCUGGGCACGUGGAACAUCGGGUGCACCAAAGCCUACUUCGGCACCAUGAAAUCCCAGGUUCUUAGGCAAAAUUUUAUGGGGCCUUACAUUAUCGUUCUGUACUUGUUAAAAUGAUGAAACUGUACAGGUUAUAGCUAGUAUCAAUUAUAAUUCGUGCUUCUUUUACCUCGCUGAGGUUAGUUACGAUACUUAUUGAGUUCAUUAGGUCGGUUGUAGUCUACUACACUCUCCACUUAAUUGUGCAGAUCUAGAUGUGGGGACCAGUUAUGAGUAGUUGAUUUAUCUAUUGGACCCAACUUCGAGAGGCAAGGUAGAGCUGCAUCCUUGGUCGCAGUUUUGACUUGUCCUUUCUUGUGUACUGUUGUUUUAGUUCAAACAAUAGUGUUAUUUAGUUUUUCAGACUUGUACUCCGUUGUAGAGCGCAUCACUCCGUAUUUACCAGUUUCUUGGGGAUUUACCUUGUAUUGGUAGUACUUUAUUACAUUGAGGUUUCAGACUUAUGCAAUUUCUAUAAUUUAUGUUGUUAUGGUUCUUUACUGUUAUGUUUCACCUUGCCUAGCCAGUGUUUUAGGCGUCGUCUCGACGGGUUGGGAUUUUGGAUCUUGAUAAGUUGGUAUUAGAGCCCUAGGUUCAUAGUAUUACGAGUCAUGAGAAAGUUUAGUAAAGUCUUACGGAUCGGUGCGGAGACGUCUGUACUUAUCUUUGAGAGGCUACCGAACUAUUAGGAAACUUCACUUUCUUGUAUUCUUGUCAUGCGGAUAUGUUAUUUUUGAAAUUUGAACUUGAAUAUUUUAUUCUCUCACAGAUGGUGAGGACACGUGUGACCGGAUCAGGCGGACGGCCACCAGUACCACCAGCUAGGACCGCGAGAGGCCGGGGUCGUGGUAGAGGCUGAGGUAUGGCUUUUACUACAUCUAGAGCAGGUACCAGAUGUUGCUUCAGCUCAGGAGCAGGUACCAGAUGUGGUUGAGUCGGUGGGACCAACUCAGGCAUUAGGAGUGCCCAUUGUGAUUCCUGGCCUUCAGGAGGCCUUAGCCCAAAUUUUGACUGUGUGCAUGAUUCUGGCCUUUAGGAGGAAUUGUGUAGGCAGUUUGAGCAGAUACACUAAAAGGGUAUGAGAGUGACUUAGUAUGAGAUGAGGUUUUCAGAGUUGGCUCGUCACAUGGUAUUGUUGGUUUCCACUGAGAGGGAGAAGAUUAAGAGGUUCAUUAAUGGCCUCGACUAUGGUUUGCGCUUCAUUAUGGCUCGGGAGGUUACAAUGGGUGUGAGGUUUGACAGGGUGGUUGAUAUUGCUAGAUGCUUAGAGUUGGUUCGCAGGUAGGAGCGGGAGGCCAAGAGGCCUCAUAGUUUAGGUGGUUUCAGUAGUGCCUCAUCUGGAGGCCAAUCCUAUUAUAGUAGAGGCCAUUCUUCUAGACCAGUUUAGGCAACUCGCCAUGUUCCUUGUGGUUCUUCAGUUAGCCACAGUUCCUACAGUGCCUACCCAACUCACUCAUCAUUCAGUGCAUUACCGGCACAAAGUUUUUAUCGUGCCCCAUCUGUUCAGGUUUCCACAAGCAAUUCUUCGGGCUAUCAGGUUCAACAGCAUGUCAAGAGGGUUUGCUAUGAGUGCGGAGAGUUGAGAGUCAUCUCAAGAGAGAUUGCCCCAAACUACUGAGUAGGGUCCCAGAGAAGAGUUCUCAGCCUAUGAUCCCAGCACCAGAAGCUACACCACCCGCACAACCAUCUCAUAGUGGGGCCCAGUCAGCUCGAGGCCGCCUUAGAGAGGGCGAUCGAUCAGGUGGAAGUCAGGCCCGUUGCUACGCAUUUCUAGCCAGACUAGAGGCGGCUACCUCUGAUGUCGUGAUCACAAGUAUUGUUUCAGUAUGCCACAGGGAUGCUUUGGUAUUAUUUGAUCCUGGUUCCACUUAUUCAUAUGUGUCAUCAUACUUUGCUCGUUAUUUGGAUAUGCCCCAUGAUUCUUUAGUUAUGUAUGUUCAUGUAUCUACACCGAUGAGUGAUUAUAUUAUUGUGGAUGCGUACCGAUCAUAUGUAGUGACUAUUAUGCAAUAAGAGAUGAGAGUUGAUCUUUUACUGCUUAGCGUGGUUGAUUUUGACGUGAUUUAGGCAUGGAUUGGUUGUCACCAUGUCACACUAUUCUAGAUUAUCACACUAAGACUGUGACAUUGGUGAUGCCAGGAUUGCCUAGGGUUGAGUGGAAGGGUUCUCUGGACUAUGUUUCCAGUAGAGUAAUUUCAUAUUUGAAGGCCCAACAGAUGGUUGGGAAGGGAUGUCUAGCGGCCUUCAUGAGGGAUGUUGGUGCUGAUACUCCUACUAUUGAGUUCGUUCCGGUAGUGAGAGACUUUCCAGAUGUAUUUCCUGUAGACCUACCGGGCAUGCCACCCGACAGAGACAUUGAUUUUGGUAUUGAUCUAGUGCCAGACACUCAGCCCAUCUCUAUUCCACCGUAUCGUAUGGCACCAGCAGAGUUGAAAGAAUUGACAAACUACCUUCAGGAACUACUUGAUAAGGGAUUCAUCAGGCCUAAUGUGUUUCCUUUGGGUGCACCGGUUCUAUUUUUGAAGAAUAAGGAUGGUACUAUACGGAUGUGAAUUGAUUACAGGCAGUUGUACAAAGUUACAAUUAAGAACAAGUACCCACUACCACACAUUGAUGACUUAUUUGACCAACUUCAGGGUGUUAGAGUGUUCUCUAAGAUUGAUUUAAGGUCUGGGUAUCACCAGUUGAAGAUUUAAGAUUCUAAUAUUCUGAAGAUGGCAUUUAGGAACCGCUAUGGUCAUUACGAGUUUCUUGUGAUGUCUUUUGGGCUGAUCAAUGCCCCAACAGUCUUUAUGCACCUGAUGAAUAGUGUAUUCCAGUCAUAUCUUGAUUUAUUUGUUAUAGUAUUCAUUGAUGAUAUACUGGUGUACUCACGCAGCCAGGAGAAUCAUGAGUAGUAUUUGAGGAUUGUACUCCAGACGUUGAGGGAGAAGAAACUAUAUGCUAAAUUCUCCAAGUGUGAGUUUUGGAUUAAUUCUGGGGUGUUCUUAGGGCACGUGGUGUCCAAUGAGGGAAUCAAGGUAGAUCCGAAGAAGAUUAAGGCAGAGUAAAGUUGUCCCAGACCGUCUUCAGCUACUGAGAUUUGGAGUUUUCUUGGUUUGACCAGAUAUUAUCGCUGUUUCAUGGAGGGUUUCUCAUCCAUUGCUGCACCUUUGACCAGAUUGACCCAGAAGGGUGCCCCAUUCAGGUGGUCUGAUAAGUGUGAGGACAGCUUUCAGAAGCUCAAGUCUGCCUUGACCACAAUCUCAGUUUUAGUUUUGCCUUUAGCAUCGGUUUCAUAUACGAUUUAUUGUGACUCUUCUUGGAUUGGUAUUGGGUGUGUCUUGAUGCAGGAGGGUAGGGUAAUUGCUUGUGUUUCGUGCCAGUUGAAUACCUAUGAGAAGAUUUAUCGUGUUCAUGAUCUAGAGUUGGCAGAUAUUGUCCAUGCAUUAAAGAUUUGGAGGCAUUAUCUCUACGACGUGUCUUGUGAGCUAUUUACAUAUCAUCAGAGUCUACAUCACUUGUUUAAGUAGAAGGAUUCGAAUUUGAGGCAGUGAAGGUGGUUAAAGCAGUUAAAAGACUAUGAUAUCACCAUUUUGUAUCAUCCCGGGAAUGCUAAUAUGGUGGCCGAUGCCUUGAGUAGAAAGGCGGAGAGUAUGGGUAGCCUUGCAUAUAUUCCAGUUGGUGAGAGACCGCUAGCAUUGGAAGUUCAGGCCUUGGCCAAUCAGUUCAUGACGUUAGAUAUUUCGGAGCCUCGCCAAGUUCUUGCUUGUAUGGUUUCUUGGUCUUCUUUGUAUGAUCGCACUAGAGGGUGUCAGUAUGACGACCCCCAUUUGCUUGUCCAUAUGGAAAUGGUGCAGCAUGGUGAUGCCAAAUAGGUUUCUAUUAGAGAUGACGGGUGUUGCAGAUGCAAGGACAAAUUUGUGUGCCCAAUAUGGAUAGGUUACGUGAGUUGAUUCUUGAGGAGGCCCACAAUUUGCGGUAUUCCAUUCAUCCGGGUGUCGAGAAGAUGUAUCAGGACUUGAGGAACCACUAUUGGUGGAGGAGAAUGAAUAAAGAUAUAGUAGAUUAUGUGGCUUAUUUCUUGAACUAUCAGUAGGUGAAGUACGAGCAUCAGAGGCCGUGCGGUUUGCUUCAGAGACUUGAGAUUCCCAAGUGAAAAUGGGAGUGAGUUAUCAUGGAUUUCGUUGUUGGGAUCCCACACGGACUUUGAAGAAAUUUGAUGAAGUUUGGGUGAUUAUGGGCUGGUUGACUAAGUUCACAUAUUUUAUUCUUAUUGUGACUACCUAUUCUUCAGAGCGACUGGCUUAGAUCUAUAUCCGUGAGAUUGUUCGACUUCAUGGUGUGCCUGUGUCCAUUAUUUCUGAUCGAGGCACACAAUUCACAUCGCAAUUUUGGAGAGCAGUGUAGCGAGAGUUAGGCACACAGGUUGAGUUGAUUCAGCAUUCCACCCCCAGAAGGACAGACAGUCCAAACGCACCAUUUAGAUCUUCGAGGAUAUUCUACGUGCUUGUGUUAUGGAUUUCGGGGGUUCUUGCGAUUAGUUUCUACCGCUUGCAGAGUUUCCCUACAACAACAACUACCAAUUGAGUAUUCAGAUGGCUCCUUAUGAGGCCUUAUAUGGGAGGCAGUGUCAAUCUCUUGUUGGUUGGUUUGAACCGAGAAAGGCUAGGUUGUUGGGUACUGAUCUGGUUUGGGAUGCCUUAGAGAAAGUCAAGUUGAUUCAGGAUCGACUUCGUACAGCACAAUCCAGGUAGAAGAGUUAUGCGGAUAGGAAGGUUCAUGAUAUUGCAUAUAUGGUGGGUGAUAAGGUUUUGCUCAGAGUAUCGCCCAUGAAGGGUGUGAUGAGGUCUCGAAAGAAGGGCAAGUUGAGCCCUUGGUAUAUUGGUCCUUUUGAGGUGCUUGAGAGGAUUGGAGAGGCGGCCUACAAGCUUGCAUUGCCACCUAGUCUAUCGGGACUUCACCCAAUAUUUCAUGUUUCUAUGCUCCAGAAGUAUUAUGGUGAUCCGUCACAUGUUUUGAAUUUCAGCAUGGUUCAGUUAGACGGAGAUUUGACUUAUGAUGUGGAGCCGGUGGCCAUGUUGGAUCGGCAGGUUCAAAGGUUGAGAUCAAAGAAUAUAGCUUCAGUGAAGGAUUAAUGGAGAGGCCAUCUAGUCGAGAAGGCUACUUGGGAGACUGAGCGGGAUAUGCGGAGCAGUUAUCCAUACCUAUUUGAGACUUCAGGUAUGAUUCUAGACAUGUUCGAGGACGAACGAUUGUUUAGGAGGGGAGAAUGCAACUAUCCGGCCGGUCAUUUUGUGUAUCAUAGCUCGUUCCCCUGUUUAUUGCUUAUUCGAUGUUCACUUGUGGCUAUGUGACUUGCCGGGUGGUUGCUUUGGUUCUGAAGAUGAUUCGGAGUAAAUUGGGACAUUUAGUCCCAAGGUUGGAAGCUUAAGUUGAAAGAGUUGACCGGAUGUUGACUUUUGUGUAAACGACUCCAGAAUGGAGUUUUGAUGGUUCUGAUAGCUUCGUAUGGUGAUUUUGGACUUAGUUGUACGUCUGGAUUUGGAUUUGGAGGUCCGUAGGUUGAUUUGGUGCAUUUUAACAAAAAAUGGAAAGUUAAAGGUUUGGAAGGUUGAGAAGUUUGAUUGAGAGUUGACUUUGUGGGUAUCGGGUUCGGAUUUAGGUUCCGAAAGUUGGAAUAGGUCCAUCGUGUCAUUUAUGACUUGUGUGCAAAAAUAAGGUCAAUCAGAGUUUGUUUGAUAUGAUCGGCAUUAGUUUUAGAAGUUUGAAGUUCGUUUGUUCAUUAGGUUUGAAUCAAUGUACAAUUUGUGGUUUUGGUAUUGUUUGAUGUGAUUUAAGGCUUCAAUCGAGUUCGUAUGCUAGGCUUGGCCUUGGUCGCAGAUGCGGUAGCCGAUCUGUAGGUGCGGAUGCGCAAAAGCAGGCGAGGGGCUGCAGAAGCGGUCUCACAGGUGCAGAGCUUUGACCGCAGGUGCGCUGGGUCGAUAAGUUAAUGAUAUCUCGCACCAGCGAUGGUGAGUCCGCAGGUGCGACUCUGAGGGCCGUAGAAGCAAAAUUGGUACGGUGUAAUUUACACCGAAGAGUUUAGUUGAUUUUUCUCAUUUGUGGGAUUUUGACGUUCGUACUAGGGCAAUAUUUAGAGAGGGUUCCACCCAGAUUGAAGAGGUAAGUGACUUUUAAUCGCUUUUGUCCAUAAAUAUUGAAUACCCAUUGAUUAUUACACCAAUUGUGCACGAAACUUAGUUAGAAUUUGGGAAUUUUUGGACUAUGUUAUUGGAAAGUGAAAUUUGAGGAUUUGGGGGGCGACUUGUGGUUGAAAUUGGACGAUUUUGGUAUAGUUGAACUCGUAAUUGAAUGUGUAUUCGGAAUUUGAGAAUUUUGUCAGAUUCCGAGGUGCGGGCCCAGGGUUGACUCUUUGACUUGAGGUAAAGACCUUAGCUUUAUAUUUUGGAAUCACUUCCUAUGACUUUUAUUGAUAGUAUUACGUUAUUUUGGCUAGAUUCAAGUCAUCCAGUGAUUGAUACGCGCUGGAAGGGAUCUUUAGCGGAGUGAUUUUGUUUGCAUGAGAUAGGGAUCUUAUCUAAACUUGGUUGAGGCACUAGUUUCCUGAAUUAUUCGUGAUAGCUACGUGCUAUAGGUGCGCACAUAUAUGAGGUUUGAACCUAUGUGCUAACACCGGAGUAUUUAUCCAUGCUCAUGUUAUUCUUAGGCUAUGAUAUGCUUAGAAUUGACUGUUAAGUUUUAAGCUAUGAUAUUUCUCAUAUUUGUAACAUUGUUGUGAACUAUUUGAGCCAUGUUUGAGAUUACAUAGAGGCUAAAUCCCUGAAUGAACUUGAUAAUUGUUAUCUCCUUGAUGAAAUAGCCAGUUUGAGCUAUGAUAGCACACUAUGCAUAUGCCUACACUUUAGCAUGUCACUCAUAGUAGUCCAGGAGCAUGAGAUAUGUUAUUCGUUCAUCCUAUACAUGCAUUCUUAUAUAUUUGCUUCUGUGUGAUACGAUUUGGAAUGGAUGCUUGUGACCACCCCAGGCGGAGUGACUUGUUAUGCAUGUGACCACGCCAGGGGGAUUAUAUUGUUAUGCUUAUGACCAUGCCGGGCAAAUUAUGUUGUUAUGCAUGUGAUCACGUCGGGCAGAUUAUGGUGUUAUGCCUGUGACAACGCCAGGCAUAUUGUACUGUUAUGUCUGUGAUCACGCCGAGCGGAUUAUGAUAUUGAGCCUGUGACCACACCGGGCUGGUGGCAUAUUGAAUUGGUCGUGCUUGCGUGUGGAUAUGUAUUCCUCUCAUCUAGCCAGUGUUUGUUUGGAUUUUGCAUUUCAUCUUUACUUGCAAUUUCUGCGGUUAAUUACUUGAUUUAACUGCAUAUCAUCUCUAUAUGUUGCACAUUGACUGAAAAGAGUAUUUGCUUAAUUGUACACAUACACACACAAAAACUACUUCCUGUGCUCUAUGACUUGAUUUCAUUAUCGUUCUGUACUUUUUAAAAUGAUAAAAUUGUACAGGUUAUAGCUAUAAUCAUUUAUAAUUCGUGUUUCUUUUACCUCGCCGAGGUUAGUUACGAUAAUUAUUGAGUACAUUAGGUCAGUUGUACUCAUACUACACUUUGGAAUUAAUUGUGUAGAUCCAGGUGUGAGGACCAGUUAUCAACAAUAGAUUUAUCUGUUGGACCCAGCUUCGAGAGGCGAGGUAGAGCUGCAUCCUUGGCCGCAGUUUUGACUUGUCUUUUGUUAUGUAUUGUUGUUUCAAUUCAAACAAUAGUGUUUUUUAGUUUUUCAUACUUGUACUCCAUUGUAGAGCUCACGACACCAUAUUUACUAGUUUAUGGGGGAUUUACCUUGUAUUGGCAGUACUUUGUUACAUUGAGGUUUGAGACUUAUGUUAUUUCUAUAAUUUAUAUUGUUCUAGUUCUUUAUUGUUAUGUUUCGGCUUGCCUAGACAGUGUAUUAGGUAUCAUCACGACGAGUUGAGAUUUUGGGGUCGUGACAGGCAUUUAUGCCAGGCACACAUUAUGCUCUCUGUGUGUGUGUAUGAAUUGGUACUAAUUAUGUGGAAAGGUUGAAUCUGAGCAUGCGCAUAUAUCAUGCACCCACGUAGAAGCAUUUCCUUACAUGCUGUUUCUGUAUAUUAUUUAUCUUAGGUGAACUCGGACUAUAGAUUAUGCUUUGAUCAUUAAAUCUGAGAAGCAUGGUAUUUAUUUUCUUUGGAAUUGUUGUUGGACUGUUCUUUCUCUGUAUUUACACUUAUUGAUUAUUAUCUCAUUAUUGAAGUAAGUAUCAUCUUGGUUAGAGCCUCGUUACUACUUGUUCGACGUUAGACUUGAUACUUGUUGAGUAUAUUGGGUUGGUUGUACUUAUAAUACACUUCUACAUAUUUUGGUGCAGAUCCAAGUGUUUGUACUUAUGAAGCACAACAUGAUGCUUAGUUACUAAUUUUGUAGACACAAGGUAGUGCUGCUGGUUCGACCGCAAGCCCGUGAAGUCACCUUCUUCACAUCUAUUUACUAUUAUUUGAUUCAGAUAGUACUAUACUUAUUUCAGACCAUAUAUUUUGCUACUUUUAGAAGCGCACGUACUCAGUGACACCCAAUCCGGGAUUGUUUUAUUGUUUUGUACUUUUUUAUUUUGAUCGAGACUUAUCUAUGACAAUGAUCUUGUUUAGACUUAUAAUUUUCAUGCUAGUGAUUUCUUUAGAGAUUAUGAUUGUUGGUUCGCCUAGAAGGCAAGUUAAGUGUCAUCACAGCCAUUGGAGGGUUUUAGAUCAUGAUAGCAUGGUAUCAUAGUCUAAGUUGCAUUGGUCCAUGAGUCAUGAGCAUGUUUAAUUGAGUCUUGUUUAUCGGCAUAGAGACGUCUAUACUUAUCUUCAAGAGGUUGUGGGAUGUUUAGGAAACUUCACUCUCUUUCAUUCUCUAUCGUGCAACUCAUCCUGAAUUCUGAAUCUUAUUCCUCUAUUCUCUCAUAAAUAUCGGGAACACGUGAAUUAGCCGUAGCCAAGCAGGAGCUGGUACUCCAGGCCAGAGCCAUAAGAGGAAGGGCCUGAGCAGGGCUGGAGCUCAGGCCAGUGCUCAUACAGUAGAACCUGCCAGAUGUAGAAUAUCUGCAGCGGCUUGUGGACGUACCAAAGCAGCAUCUAUUGAGCCUCAAAUAUCUCCAGUUAGAGAGCAUGCCUAGUUUAGGAAGAGCAGUUAGGACCAACUCAUGUCCCAAAGGGUUUCAUCACUACUCCUGCGAUUCAAGAGACUUUGGUCUGCAUUGCGGGAUUUUUCGAGAAUAUGGCACAAGCCGGAGUAUUCCUAAGUGCACCAACUACUUCUCAGGCUGGCGGGAGGCUCAAACCCCUACUACCUACAAACUAUAGCAGCAACAUGCCCCAGUUUUCAGACUAUCAGAGUUACCCCACAUGUCACUGCCGCAUUACAGCCAGUAAGUCAGAAUAGUGUGACUGGAGAGAUGAGAGAAUUUAUUGAAGGACUCAACUAUGGCAUUAGUCUUGGUAUAGCCCAAAAAGGUAGGGAUAGAGUGCACUAUGGGAAGGCUAAGGAGAAAGCCUUGAGGGCAGAGCGCAUGCGACUCCGUAGUUAGAGAAAAGAGGAGCGGAAGAGCAUGAAAUCCCACAGGCAGUUCCAGCAGUCUUUCUCAGCUAUAGGUUAUUAUUAGUGUGGUGAUUUGAGGCAAAUGAGGAGAAAUUAUCCAAGACUUCUUAGUGGUGCAUCUCAGCAAGGUACUCAAACUAUAGUUCCAACCUAGUGACUACACCACUUGCACGGCCAGCUAGAGGUGGGGGUCUGGCAGGUAGAGGUCAUCCCACAAGUGGAGGUCAGGCAUGUGGCUAUGCUUUUUCUGGUAGGACAAAGAUGAUUGCAUCUGAUACAGUUAUAAAAGGUAUUAUUUCAAUCUGUCAUAGGGAUGCUUCAGUAUUAUUUGAUCUGGGUUCUACUUAUUCGUAUAUGUUAUCUUACUUUGUAUUAUGUUUGGGUAUGUCUCGUGAUUAUUUGGAUAUUCUUGUUCAUGUGUCUACACUUAUUGGACAUUCUAUAGUGGUGGAUCAUUUAUAUCGGUCUUUUGUGGUUACUAUAAAUGGGUACAAUACUAUGGUUGAUCUCUUGUUGCUACACAUAGUGGAUUUUGAGGUUAUUCUUGGCAUAAAUUGGUUAUCCCUGUAUCAUGUUAUCUUGGAUUGUAAUGCCAAGACUGUGACUUUAGCUAUGCCAGGGACACCUAGGUUAGAAUGGAGAGGGACAUUUGGUCAUGCUACAGGUAGAAUGAUUUCAUUUUUGAAGACUCAGCAUAUGGUUGAGAAGGAAUGUUUAGCAUAUUUGGCUUUUAUUCGGGAUUCUAAUGCAGAGGUUCCUUUUAUGGAUUUGGUACCGGUUAUGAUAGAGCUCCCGAAGGUGUUUCCUAUGCGUUUUCUGGGUAUGCCAUCAGAUAGUAAUAUUAAUUUUGGUAUUGACUUGGUGCCGGUUACUCAGCCUAUAACUAUUCCACCACAUCACAUGGCUCCAACAGUGUUGAAAGAGUUAAAGGACCACUUGUAAGAUUUGCUUGAUAAGAGAUUCACUAGACCGGGUAUUUCUCCUUGGGGUACACUAGUGUUAUUUGCGAAGAAGAAAUAUGGUACUAUGAGGAUGUGCAUUAAUUAUAGGCAGGUGAAUAAGGUUAUAUAAAGAACAAGUAUCCAUUGCCACGGAUUUGUCAUACUUCCCUUUUUCGGGGGAAAUAGGAGUUUUUUUUAAUUAAAGUGAUAUUAUUUGAAUAUGAAUUAAUUAAUAAUAUUUUAGGAGUCGUCACUUGGAAUAGAGUAUUUUUAAUAUUCCAAGUCACCAAUUUAUUAAAUCUUUAAUCAAGAAAAUUUUAUCUCCAAUUUAUGAUUUGCGAAUACAGAAGAUCGGGUCAGGAAUUUUGUUGAACAGGAAGAAGGUAUGAGUCACUCCCCGAAUCCCGUGGUUUUAGCACGUUCGCUAAAUUAACUUACACUUGGCUUAAAUUAAUUUAGAAUAUAUUGUAUUUAAUAGUUUUCACAUUUUAUCUAUAUUCAUUUUUAAUUGCUUGACUAUUGGAGAUAUGAAAAUUAUCUUGACCAAGUCACACAUACAUGUCCUUGUCUUAUUUGCGAGUUAAGAAUCAUGUUAUGCAUAUGUGUGCAUAAUCAAAGAAAACUUAUUAUUAUUUCGAAUUAAUUUAGUUAAUUGCCCUUUAAUUUAUGGAUCAUAACUAUGUUAUGCAAGCGUAUAUAUAGCCAUGGUGUUAAAAACGUACCUAAAGCAUGCUAGCGUGUGUAAUUAUUUUCCUAAUUUGAGAUCAAAAUUAAAGCAUAAAUUUAUGAAUAAAUUAAGAGUGCAAUUAUAUUAGAGAAGUCAACACACUCUUUGUUAUUUAUAACUUAAUAAGGUUACGACAUUCUAGAUCUUUGAAAUAAAUCUAAUUACAAACUAGUAGAGAAUUAUUGAAAGAGUUAAUAAAUUAUUGUAAGUUAAUUAAAUGUGACAUCUGAAAUGAUUUUGGCCUUAUUGGUACACUAGCAUUUGCAUUUUGGAUUUUAAAAAUGUGGGUAAAAUGAUUGAUUAAUUCUCAAUAAGUGAAUUUUAUAAUAGCAAUUAGUCAUCAUAUAAAAGAAAAGCAUGAAUAAGAAUAAACUUAAAUCACUUAGGCCUGGAGACUUGGCUUAUUCAUCGAAAAAAUGACAUUGAUCCACAAAGUCACUGGGCUCUCGAAGUCCCUAUUAGAAUCGAGGCAGACUGGCCUUGUAUCUUUAACCUGCAGACUUAGUCUUUAGGUCUGAAAUUUUGAGACAGACCCACUAAUAAAGAAAUCCCAAAUUGAAAACCUUGAACCCUGAAUCUCAACCUAAAACUAAGUUCAAACACCAAAUUAAACUGAACAACUAAUAAACACAGAAGUUAACAACAAACAUGCUUAAAACUAACUAUUAUAAAUGAUUACAUAUGUCGUUAAUUAUCAACUAAGUUAACAAAUAGUCAUGCUAUAAUUCGAAACCCUAGUUGACUAAACAUGCAAUUAACUAAACAACUAAAAUCAUACAUUAAUCAAGAAAAUCUUAAUUAGUGAAAUUGAGUUAAUCAUGCAAUUCAAAUGAGAAAGCAAAACGGAGCAGAAACUAAUUAAAGAAGAAGUGAAAAAGAAAGGAUCAAGGUUACCUCUUAAAAUCUUAUGCCAUCCGGAGAAGAAGAAUCCAAUUGGAAGUUGCCAUCAUCACAUUGAACUUUGCUUAGAUUCUACAUUCCAGUCUGGGUUAAUGUGAUGAUGGCUACUGAGAGUCGGAGUACCAAAAUAAAGGGGAGUUUUAGUGAUUUUGUCCAGCCAACAGUAAGUUGACCGGAGCCGACCGCCAUGAAAUGACCUAAAACCAGCAUCAAUCAAUAGAUCUCAACAAGACCUAGUGACUGGUGUGAGUUUCAAGUUCACACGGCGUUUGGUCAUGUCGAAUUCCAAAAAGGGACACGGAGGCAAGGAUUUUAUUUCUAUAGUUCGAUUUUGGGCAAUAUUGGAUUGGAAUUGGAGUUUGAUCUUAGCAGAUUGGGAUAGAGGAUAAGGAGAGGAGUAAUUUGGUGGAGAUUCGAGGUGGAUUGGCCAUCACCGGCCGGCGAAGAUGAUUUUCGAUCGGUGGUGGAGCAGUGGUGGACAGCAAAAAGAAUGUGUUGAAUUGCAGAGGCAAUCUCCAGCCACCACGGAGAGGAGAGAGAAAAUGAGGUCUG
rnacentral:lncRNA from 1 species